rnacentral:rRNA from 1 species
GACGAACGCUGGCGGCGCGCCUAACACAUGCAAGUCGAACGGAGUCACGAGGAGCUUGCUUUUCUUGACUUAGUGGCGAACGGGUGAGUAACGCGUGAGUAACCUGCCCUGGAGUGGGGGACAACAGUUGGAAACGACUGCUAAUACCGCAUAAGCCCACGGAUCUGCAUGGAUCUGCGGGAAAAGGAUUUAUUCGCUCUAGGAUGGACUCGCGUCCAAUUAGCUAGUUGGUGAGGUAACGGCCCACCAAGGCGACGAUUGGUAGCCGGACUGAGAGGUUGAACGGCCACAUUGGGACUGAGACACGGCCCAGACUCCUACGGGAGGCAGCAGUGGGGGAUAUUGCACAAUGGGGGAAAUCCUGAUGCAGCGACGCCGCGUGGAGGAAGAAGGUUUUCGGAUUGUAAACUCCUGUCGUUAGGGACGAUAAUGACGGUACCUAACAAGAAAGCACCAGCUAACUACGUG